rnacentral:rRNA from 1 species
UACGACGGACCCGAGCGUUAUCCGGAUUUAUUGGGUUUAAAGGGUGCGUAGUCGGAAUAGUAAGUCAGUGGUGAAAGCCUGUUGCUUAACAACAGAACUGCCAUCGAUACUGCUAAUCUUGAGUACAUAUGAUGUGGGCGGAAUGUGCCAUGUAGCGGUGAAAUGCUUAGAUAUGGCACAGAACACCGAUUGCGAAGGCAGCUCACAAAACUGUAACUGACGCUGAGGCACGAAAGCGUGGGGAUCAAACAGG